AGUGAACGCUGGCGGUAGGCCUAACACAUGCCAGUCGAACGGCAGCACAGUAAGAGCUUGCUCUUACGGGUGGCGAGUGGCGGACGGGUGAGGAAUACAUCGGAAUCUACUUUUUCGUGGGGGAUAACGUAGGGAAACUUACGCUAAUACCGCAUACGACCUACGGGUGAAAGCAGGGGAUCUUCGGACCUUGCGCGAUUGAAUGAGCCGAUGUCGGAUUAGCUAGUUGGCGGGGUAAAGGCCCACCAAGGCGACGAUCCGUAGCUGGUCUGAGAGGAUGAUCAGCCACACUGGAACUGAGACACGGUCCAGACUCCUACGGGAGGCAGCAGCGGGGAAUAUUGGACAAUGGGCGCAAGCCUGAUCCAGCCAUACCGCGUGGGUGAAGAAGGCCUUCGGGUUGUAAAGCCCUUUUGUUGGGAAAGAAAAGCAGCAGGUUAAUACCCCGCUGUUCUGACGGUACCCAAAGAAUAAGCACCGGCUAACUUCGUG
rnacentral:rRNA from 1 species